AACAUCGCGCACCUGCGGGAACCUGCGGAGGGAUCAUUACCGAGUUUACAACUCCCAAACCCCUGUGAACAUACCUAUACGUUGCCUCGGCGGAUCAGCCCGCGCCCCGUAAAAAGGGACGGCCCGCCCGAGGACCCCUAAACUCUGUUUUUAGUGGAACUUCUGAGUAAAACAAACAAAUAAAUCAAAACUUUCAACAAUGGAUCU
rnacentral:misc_RNA from 1 species